GACGAACGCUGGCGGCGUGCCUAAUACAUGCGAGUAGAACGCACAGUUUAUACCGUAGCUUGCUGCACCAUAGACUGUGAGUUGCGAACGGGUGAGUAACGCGUAGGUAACCUGCCUGGUAGCGGGGGAUAACUAUUGGAAACGAUAGCUAAUACCGCAUAAUAUUUAUUAUUGCAUGAUAAUUAAUUGUAAGGUGCAAUUGCACCACUACCAGAUGGACUUGCGUUGUAUUAGCUAGUAGGUGAGGUAACGGCUCACCUAGGCGACGAUACAUAGCCGACCUGAGAGGGUGAUCGGCCACACUGGGACUGAGACACGGCCCAGACUCCUACGGGAGGCAGCAGUAGGGAAUCUUCGGCAAUGGACGAAAGUCUGACCGAGCAACGCCGCGUGAGUGAAGAAGGGUUUCGGAUCGUAAAGCUCUGUUGUAAGAGAAGAACGGGUGUGAGAGUGGAAAGUUCACACUGUGACGGUAUCUUACCAGAAAGGGACGGCUAACUACGUG
rnacentral:rRNA from 1 species